UACGGGGGGGGGUAAACGUUGUUCGGAAUUACUGGGCGUAAAGGGCUCGUAGGCGGCCAACUAAGUCGGACGUGAAAAUCCCCUCAGCUUAACUGGGGAACUGCGUCCGAUACUGGAUGGCUUGGAUUCGGGAGAGGAAUGCGGAAUUCCAGGUGUAGCGGUGAAAUGCGUAGAUAUCUGGAGGAACACCGGUGGCGGAAGGCG
rnacentral:rRNA from 1 species